GAUCAUGGCUAAGGACGAACGCUGGCGGCGUGCUUAACACAUGCAAGUCGAACGAGAAUCUGUGGAAAGAGGAUUCGUCCAAUUGAAGCAGAGGACAGUGGCGGACGGGUGAGUAACGCGUGAGGAACCUGCCUUUCAGAGGGGGGACAACAGUUGGAAACGACUGCUAAUACCGCAUGACACAUCGGAGUCGCAUGGCUCUGAUGUCAAAGAUUUAUCGCUGAAAGA
rnacentral:rRNA from 1 species